rnacentral:rRNA from 1 species
CCAGAGAGCAUUACCACCCUGUAACCUGAUCUGGUUAGAUUUCGGAAGCUCAGCAUGGCUGGACUUGGUCAGUACUGAAGUGGGAGAGCUCGAGGGAAAACCAGGCUGCGGC